UACGUAGGGUGCAAGCGUUUAAUCGGAAUUACUGGGCGUAAAGCGUGCGCAGGCGGUUUUGUAAGUCUGACGUGAAAUCCCCGGGCUUAACCUGGGAAUUGCGUUGGAGACUGCAAGGCUGGAGUCUGGCAGAGGGGGGGUAGAAUUCCACGUGUAGCAGUGAAAUGCGUAGAGAUGUGGAGGAACACCGAUGGCGAAGGCAGCCCCCUGGGUCAAGACUGACGCUCAUGCACGAAAGCGUGGGGAGCAAACAGG
rnacentral:rRNA from 1 species